UUAAAAGAUCCGGUUUCGUUUUGAUCCUCGAAAGCGCCAGCGCCAACAACAUCGCGUGACGCAAGGUCGAAUCUGGCUAAUCCGCUGUGAAGGACGCUGUCGUCUGCCGCCAAGUCUGGGGCUGCUUUGUUUUUUCCGGCACGUCGCCCGUAUUCACAUGUGACACUUUCUAGUGACUCGGAUACUAUCGCUACGCUUGCAUCCUUCGCGUGGGAUGUCGUUUGGAAACCGACGCAGCGUUCCCGACUCCAGGAAAACUUCCUUCGAAAACCUCGAUGUUUGAUUUCGCACGCCAAGGAUACAGCUACAGCCAGACCACAGACGAAGCGAAAGUUGGAAGCAGCUACAUCACUAGCGGGUAUCCAGAUGAAGCAAGGAGUGUUCAUGCUGUCCGUGUAUGCUCCUCGCAUUUCACCGAUAAUGUGUACCUGGAUGAGAACAUCAUGGAAGUGCAACUUGGAUUGACACAAAAAACAAAAAAGGAACGAAUUGAAACUUGACGCCGUUCCGACAGUGUUCCACGAACAAAGCGAGCCAGCAACUUCGACACUGCAGGCAGUUCGACAGGGUCAAGCGCAAGUGAAGGACCAGGUGCUGCUGAUCAAGUCCCAUCCAUCCAUGAAACGGCAUCAAACAAUGUACGUGUGUGCACGGCAAUUUUGCUGAGAGACCUGGUUUUUACACUAAUGCCUUUACAACGCCUCUGACAAAUUAGGAUCUUCCAGAACAGUGCUUUCUUCAUCCAAGUUCAAGAAGUAAAGAGAAUGACUUCAUGGCUUCUACUGACAUCUCACAGCUACAUGCCAAGACAAAAUAACUUGACAGCAGGAAAUGAAAAGAAAAAAAAAAGGUCCGUUUCAGGUCCACCCAAAUCUUUGUGCAGAGGCUGACAACAACAACGCUAUUGUGAGAUGAUGAAUGAUGCUGAUGCAGCGUUGAGAUUAAGCCCUUGUUUCCUUUUUUGCAAUGCUAUACAUUACUGCUGGUUAAAUGUAAAAUGAUGCACCUACCUCCAGACAUUAAAGGGGCUACCAGAGAUGUAGUGUCAAUUCAACAGAAAACCUGCAUGUUCUACGAGGCACUAUCACAUAAGCAUUGGCCAAAUUUGCUGUCCUGUGAGCUUUGAUAGGAUAUGCCGUAGAUAGUAAGAGGCCUCUUACUGUAAAAGGGAGGUGCAUUAAUCGAGUAGUGGGGUCUGAGGCAUGAGGGCCAUUU